UCAACCCACGACAUAUCAAGCACUCGAAGCUUUGUUUUGCCUUCUCACAGAUCUUUACAGAUGAUAAUGCUCGUUGUGCUGCCUCUCGUGUAUCUUGGUCCACACAAGUUAAAAUCACGCCAGAUUGGACGAGGCUGGUGAGAAAAGUUGGCGACAUUAAAAUUACUCACCAAAAUUAAUGGACUGUGUGCUUGUUCUUCGUGGCGUAAAAUAAUCAAAUGUUUCGAGAUCAUUGGCUUUUACUGCAUAAACCUUCCGAGCCGCGGCUUUCCAGAAGCUUAUUCCUGUAAGAAGAAAGUGUUCUCUUUAAAACUGUGAAGAGGAAAAACAAUUUUCAGUCCAUAUUCAAAUAUAUAUAUACACACCUCUUGUGGCUGCGGAGUCCUCGUAUCGUAAACCACCUCCUUGCACUAACACCAACGUUCGAUCUUCGAAUCGUGUUUUUGCCAUCUCCGUGAUUGCGUCGACGUUUGCUUCUGCUUCCGUUAUUGUUAUAAACGAAAUUCGUUUCUGAUUAACUGUAAAAAAGAAGAGUAUUUAUAAUUUAUGAAUGUGUAAAAUUAGAACGUUUAGUAUAGAACAAUAUCAACUUACCGA